UAGCAGAGGGUGCGAGCGUUAAUCGGAAUUACUGGGCGUAAAGCGCGCGUAGGCGGCUUUGCAAGUCGAGUGUGAAAUCCCCAGGCUCAACCUGGGAACUGCAUUCGAGACUGCAUAGCUAGAGUAUGGGAGAGGGAAGUGGAAUUUCAGGUGUAAGCGGUGAAAUGCGUAGAUAUCUGAAGGAACAUCAGUGGCGAAAGCGACUUCCUGGACCAAUACUGACGCUCAUGUGCGAAAAGCGUGGGGAGCAAACAGG
rnacentral:rRNA from 1 species